CAAUAGCGUAUAUUAAAGUUGCUGCAGUUAAAAAGCUCGUAGUUGCAUUUCCGAGGCAAGGGAUUGGUCCGACCUUUGGUGGGUAUUUAAUCCUCUUGCCUCGCCCUUGAGUGGUGCUUCUUGGUAUUAAGUUAUCGAGGAGAUAGCCGCUCAUCGUUUACUGUGAGAAAAUUAGAGUGUUCAAAGCAGGCUUAUGCCGUUGAAUAUAUUAGCAUGGAAUAAUAAGAUAGGACCUCGGUACUAUUUUGUUGGUUUGAGAACCAAGGUAAUGAUGAAUAGGGACAGUUGGGGGUAUUCGUAUUCAGUUGUCAGAGGUGAAAUUCUUAGAUUUACGGAAGACGAACUACUGCGAAAGCAUUUACCAAGGAUGUUUUCAUUAA
rnacentral:rRNA from 1 species